AAUACACUUUUAAAUCUUUUCUUCUCACAACCUUACCUUCCCUCUCAUCCUUUUAAAAUCUCCCACCUUCUCUCCCUCCCUCCCCUUUCUUGAAUUAAACAUCCCUUAUUACCCAAAAAAACACCCAAAGUUGAUGAACGAUGAACCACCACAUCCUUUCUUGCUCUAUAUAGUUGAAUACUCAUUUCUCGAUUGCUUCUUUACAUAAUCAUCAUUUAAAAUUUAGCAUGCUCUUACGCUUCCCUCUAUUCAACUCAAAACCACCCCUACUAAUCAACACCCAUAACCUCCUCUUAUAUCAUUCUUCAACAAUUUCAAAACAACAAUGCAAAACAUUAACUCAAGCAAAACUACUUCAUCAACAAUACAUCAUAAACGGUCAUCUUUUAAACAGUUACACAAACGUAACCAACCUCAUUUACACUUACAUUUCCUCAAAUUCCAUAACAAACGCUAUUUUACUUUUAGAAAAAAACGUUACACCAUCUCACUCUUCCGUUUACUGGUGGAACCAACUUAUACGACACGCACUUCAUUUUAAUUCCCCGAACACGGCUUUACGCCUUUUUCGUCGUAUGAAAACACUUCACUGGACACCUGAUCAUUACACAUUCCCUUUUGUUUUCAAAGCGUGCGGAGAAAUUUCGAAUUUUGAACUUGGUGCUUCGAUUCAUGGUUGUGUUAUUCGAUUGGGUUUUGAGUCUAAUGUGUUUGUUUGUAAUGCUGUGAUUUCUAUGUAUGGGAAAUGUAAGGCGGUUGUGCAUGCGCGUAAGGUGUUUGAUGAAUUGUGUUAUAGAGGGAUUUGUGAUUCAGUGACGUGGAAUUCAAUUGUUUCUGUUUAUUCGCAUUGUUUUGUUCCGAAUGUUGCUGUUUCGCUUUUUAGGGAAAUGACGGUGGGGUAUGGGAUUUUGCCGGAUACUGUUGGUGUUGUUAAUAUACUUCCUGUUUGUGGUUAUCUUGGUUUGGGGUUAUGUGGGAGACAAGUUCAUGGUUUUUGUGUCAGAAGUGGGUUGGUUGAGGAUGUUUUUGUUGGGAAUGCUUUGGUUGAUAUGUAUGCAAAAUGCGGGAAAAUGGAGGAUGCUAAUAAGGUUUUUGAGAGGAUGAGGUUUAAGGAUGUUGUUACUUGGAAUGCCAUGGUUACCGGGUAUUCUCAAAAUGGUAGAUUUGAGGAUGCUCUUUCUUUGUUUGGGAAAAUGAGGGAAGAGAAAAUUGAGUCGGAUGUUGUUACUUGGAGUUCUGUUAUUUCUGGGUAUGCUCAGAGGGGGUUUGGUUGUGAAGCAAUGGAUGUGUUUCGGCAAAUGUGUGGAUGUCGUUGUCGUCCUAAUGUGGUUACGCUCAUGUCGUUGCUUUCUGCUUGUGCGUCUGUUGGAGCUUUGCUUCAUGGAAAAGAAACUCAUUGUUAUUCAGUUAAAUUUAUUCUCAAGGGGGAGCAUAAUGAUGAUACUGAUGAUUUGGCGGUGAUUAAUGCUCUAAUUGAUAUGUAUGCUAAAUGCAAGAGUUUAGAAGUGGCUCGUGCUAUGUUUGAUGAAAUAUGUCCUAAAGAUAGGGAUGUGGUGACUUGGACUGUGAUGAUUGGAGGUUAUGCUCAGCAUGGUGAUGCAAAUCAUGCCCUGCAACUUUUCUCUGAAAUGUUUAAAAUUGAUAACUGCAUAGUUCCUAAUGAUUUUACUAUAUCUUGUGUGCUCAUGGCCUGUGCUCGUUUGGCAGCAUUGAAGUUUGGUAAGCAAAUUCAUGCUUAUGUAUUGCGAAGAAGUCGUAUCGAUUCAGAUGUUUUGUUUGUGGCUAAUUGUCUCAUAGACAUGUAUUCCAAAUCUGGAGAUGUAGAUACUGCCCAAGUAGUUUUCGACAGCAUGUCAAAGAGAAAUGCUGUCUCUUGGACCUCGCUACUCACCGGGUAUGGCAUGCAUGGACGCAGCGAAGAUGCUUUCCGUGUUUUUGAUGAGAUGAGGAAAGAAGCUCUAGUGCCUGAUGGCAUAACCUUUCUUGUUGUGCUUUAUGCUUGUAGUCAUUCGGGAAUGGUGGAUCGUGGAAUCAAUUUGUUUUAUAGAAUGAGCAAGGAUUUUGGAGUUGAUCCUGGAGUAGAGCAUUAUGCUUGUAUGGUUGAUCUUUUGGGUCGAGCCGGUCGUCUAUGUGAAGCUACGAGACUCAUUAAUGAUAUGUCGAUGGAACCAACACCAGUAGUGUGGAUUACCUUGCUUAGUGCUUGUAGGACACACUCAAAUAUAGAACUUGCAGAAUUCGCGGCGAAAAAACUGUUAGAAUUGAAGGCUGACAAUGAUGGGACAUAUACACUGCUUUCAAAUAUAUAUGCUAAUGCCAGACGCUGGAAAGAUGUGGCGAGAAUUAGAUAUUUGAUGAAACGUACUGGAAUCAAGAAAAGACCUGGUUGGAGCUGGGUCCAAGGAAGGAAAGGUAUGGAAACCUUUUAUGUGGGAGACAGAACUCACUCACAAUCUCGGAAGAUAUAUGAAACGCUGGCAGAUUUGAUUCAGCGCAUUAAGGCCAUUGGGUAUGUUCCACAGACAAACUUUGCUCUUCAUGAUGUGGAUGAUGAAGAAAAGGGUGACCAGCUUUUAGAACACAGUGAGAAGUUGGCUCUUGCCUAUGCCAUCCUAACACUACCCCCAGGUGCACCUAUUCGAAUCACUAAGAAUUUACGCAUCUGUGGUGAUUGCCAUAGUGCCAUAACCUAUAUAUCCAUGAUUGUUGAACAUGAGAUCAUACUCAGAGACUCGAGUCGAUUCCAUCAUUUCAAAAAUGGAUCUUGCUCGUGCAAAGGGUACUGGUGAAAAUGGAUCAGAACAUUUGAUUUAGUAUACAACAUUUUUGCAAUGGGAGAGAGUCGUCUAUAUACGGUAAAACUUGGAGGAAAUUUUGAAACUUACUCAAGAGAUGAUGAUGCAGACCAAAGUCUAACACUUCAAGAUGCAUUUGGCAACAAAUCUAUACAUUACCAUGUGAUGAAAUUCCCAAAGCAACGAGAGGAAGUUAUUUUAAAAAAAAUGAAAACAGAGAAAACGAAGAUAAAACUGGAACGGGUUAUUGUAGGAUGCCCUACAGUACAGAUUACUAGGCUGUAUCGAUAGCUAUUCCAUAAGACCUGCUCCAUGGUAGGGCGAGAACGCGGGCUUUCAGUUAAGCAAGCAACUGCAAUCCUUAUCAUCGAUGCCACCUUGUGAACAAUGAUGUCAUUUGUAGGACGAGGGAGACGUUGGUCUAACAUAUCCAUCAAUGGAAUAGUAUCAAUUGUCAGGUCCGUAGCACUUUGUGAAGGUUGUUGCCACAAAUAAGUUACAAUAUCUCCAGGGUGCUUUCCAAAAUGUAUUUCCAAGGUUAAUACCCCAAAACUAUACACAUCACAUUUCUCAUUACUUCCAUUGUGUAUGCAAGUUCUGUAGAAAUUUAAAAAGAUUUAUCAUGUGAAUAAUAGGAUUCCAUAAACAAAACAUGAAAUGUAGAUUUAACAAUUGUAAAAUAAUUACAUUUUACAUGUAAGUAUAAGCUACAAAAUAUUAUAACCUUAAUUAAUAU